AUUGAAAUUUUACAAUUUCACUUUUUCCUCUUCCUCUCUCUUUCACGGUUUCUCUAACCUGUUUCUCUUUCUCUCUCUUUUCACAGUUCUUUCAUAUUCUCUCAACCCCUUUCAUUUUUCCUUUCGAACCCUAGCGGGUUUAUCACUAUCAUCGGUGCUUCCUGAAACUGCACGACUAUCUCCACCACCAAUCGCAUCUUUUCCCUUUUGAAUCGGUUUGUAUUCGUUUUCAUUUUGGUUUUCUUUUGCGUUUUAGUUAUCGCUUUCUUUUUCGUUAUCUGAAUUCGGUUUAGGGUAUGGAAAAAGUGUUUAUUUCAUUUAUGAUUCUAGCGGCGGCCGUAACAGAAUGGAUCUCUGGUUUAAAAAAUUUGUUUGUGAUUUAAACUUUGUAUUUUGAAGGAAGAUCUAUAAAUUUGGUAGUCACUAACUUGCAGAUCUACGAUUGUCCGACCCAACUCCACCGUUUCUGAUCUCCUUUCAUCACUUUUGUUUUCAAGCCCUAGAGAGUACAUGAUGUGUUGCGCCCACUCUAUGAAUCAUCCAAGCUAUUAGCUUAGAGAACAACUAUGGCAGGAAGAAGAAUACACUUGUGCUGCUAGAUAUAUGACUGUUUUUAUAAUUUUUCUGAUACAUUUUAUUGUAUACUAUGUUUGGUUUUUCUCCAAAAAAAUUAUUUGACUAUAUCACUCAUACUUUUCAUUUUUUUGUGUAACAGGCUUCAAAUUCCUUCCAAUUAUCAUAGGUUUAUGUGGCUACAAAUAGGAUUUCUCCUUUUAUCACCCUUUUCAGGAUUUUUGAAGAAUCUACAAAUAAAGUUAGAGUGAAAAUACUUAGUUUUCAACUCUAUUAUUAGAACUGAUGCCCUUACUUCUAUUGAUUUAUUUAUGUUUGGAUACUAAAAGAAGCCAUUAAAGAAUAAAAGCGGUUAUUGGAACUGAUGCCCUUACUUAUGAUAUAUCGGAGCAUUAUAUCGGAUGUAAGAAGAUAUGUGAAGAUAUUGCAAGCUCUGACUGGUCAUCCGAAUCCGGUACAAUUCUAUGAAACCUAUGAAGACAAUGAAAAUGUUUAUGUAGUUAUGCCGUAAGUUCUUAUUACCCGUAUAUUUUUUGUCAUAACUUUACUUGUACCUUCAUGGUUCAAUGCUACUGAAAAGUUCCCUCAUGUUUUAAAACUCAUAAAGUUACUUUGACAUUGAUUGAGAGACUAUCAGAUUUUUAAAAUCUAUCUGAAAUUAUUUUGACAAAAUUUGGUUUUUCCAUCAAUGCUUGGGUAAUCGAGGUUUAUGUUUUUAAUGAACCUUUUGCAGUCUAUAAGGACUUUUCAAAGGAUUUACAUGAUGCAGAGUAUUGAUUUGGUUAUCGAGAAAGGAGCUAUGCAUUUGGAUGACAUGGAGAGAAGGAAAUGGAAGACGAAGCUGCUGCUUUGCGAGAGAUGUAGGCCAAGGUCGAGAAAGAGAUGGGAUCUGUGCAAUGAGAUGCUGCUAUUGAGACAAAUCAAGGUCUUCACCUGGUCUACAUGCAUGCAGGAACCAACCCUUUUGAAGUCAUCACUCAAGCUGUCAAGUAUUCUCUGCUAUUGGUCACACUGGUAGUUAGUUGUUCCUUACUGAUGAUAAGCAAUAUGCAGAGGAACCUGCUUGGGUAAAAGCGGACCGAGCAAAACACACUACACAAGCACAAGAUUUGUGUUCUAAAAAGCUUUUAAGAACAAUCUCAGGAGGAGAAAGGAACUAUGAAGAGAUGAAGGUUAAGGGGAUUUAAUCACAGUAAAGCUUUUUCAGUUUUUUGAGGCUCACUUUUUUGACACUCCAGCAAGAGAUAAAGAAAGCUUAAGCUGGAUUUUUAUUUUUGUUUUCUCUAUUUUCUAUACCAGAAAUGUACAUCAAAAUAUAGAUUUUGCAGUAAAUGUAAAUAUAGAAAUUAAUUA